AAUCAUUAGCCUCUUAAUUAGAGGCUAGAAUGAAUGGUUUAACAUUUCCUUAACUUUUUUAAAAAUCUAUAUAAAACUUAUAUUAAAUAUAAAAAUAUAUUUAUUUACAAAUUAGACGACAAGACCCUUUCAAACUUUACUAAAGUUUAGCUGGGGUAGCUAAAUAAUUAUAAUCUUAUUAGUAAGAAUAAAACAGACCCAAUUAAAAUUGAUUAAAUGAACAAGUUACUGAAGGGAUAACAGCAUAAUAAAUUUAUACAGCUCUUAUUAAAAAACAAGUUUAUGACCUCGAUGUUGAAUUAUUUCACUUUUAUACGCAAGAGUAUAAAAAGUAGGUCUGUUCGACCUUUAAAUUUU
rnacentral:rRNA from 1 species